ACAUGGGAGGGUGCAAUAACUAGUCUGUGUUCCCUGCCUGACUUUGGAAUUCAUCGAGAUUCGAUCCCAAAUAGGCAGAUGGAGACAAAAUAUUGGCUUUAUUUUUGUUACAGUUAGAACUGGGGGAAGGGAUUAACAGGCGGCAGCAAUAAGGGGCUUCCUCAAAUUGUAUGCGGAUUUAGGCAAAACCACAGGGGUGGCUGGGGAACCUGCCUCCCGCAGGUGGGGUCUUGCCCUGGUUAAGCGUACACACAGCAGAACAGACCCGAAUGGACCCUUUCUGCAGGCAUUUACAGGAUCUGAAGAGAAGCAAGGAAGCCCACGGUGUCUGGGGGUCUAACACGUGUUUGGUGAAUGGAUGGAUGGAGAGAUGAGAAGAAAGAACACUGUGCAUACAUUGAUGUGUCAACUAAGUUGAGGAGGGACACAGUGGAGUGCUGUACGUGUGGGGAGAAUUACUAUAAAGGAGGAUUCUGACGA